ensembl:lncRNA
CCUGGGCUCAAGCACACACAUAUUUCGCCAUGGGCCUGUGAAAUUGUGUGUGUACAUUCCUGCAGUCAUGUGUUCAGACUGAGCUGAGUCACAAGCUGAGAGAAAAAGAAACUACACAAACUAAAGAGAUAGAUAGAGGAAGAGCACGAGGGGGAGGGUUUCAAAUCAGUUUUGCAUUCACAUAAAGGAGGAAGACACACUCACAGGGACUGAACGAGAAAGAGAGAGCUUACAAGACCACGAGAGGAGCCUGAUAGGGAAAAAGGAGAAAGACAAAGCAAAUAUAAAGAGACACAUAAGUGACAGUUAAAACAGUGGGAGGGGCCUAACAAGAAAAAAGAAGGAGCGAAGGUUGUGGCAACAGCAGGCAUGACUGAGAAGAAACUGAGGCAGACACAAUGCGAGAAAUGAAGAGAUGGAUUUGCUGUCACAUUCACACUCUGUUCUUCAGCAGUUAAACAUGUUUGCUGUAUUCAGAAACUAGCAAAGCUUGCAGGCUGCAGUGGAGUCAGCUGUGAAUGCUAUCGUGUCAGUUGCUGUGCUUACAGGCAGUGCACUGUGCCGAAAGCAUCGACUGAGACAAGCUGGGCCCUGAC